rnacentral:lncRNA from 1 species
UAUGCUAUAUAUGAUCUUGUAGAUAACUAGAGUAGAUUAUGACUUAGUAGUUAGUAGAUAACUUAGAAUCCAUUCUCUAGCUAAUCCGACAUCACCUACAUAUAUGAGGAGUAGUCUAUUUUCUAAUCGCUGUGCUCUUUAUCCCAUGAACUUAUACUUUAUUAUCAUUAUCUUUAUGGUUUACCCCCUGCUAAAGUAUGUGACUGUGUGAUGAGUUUCUUAUUAGUAAUCAUGUUCUUGCAAGUUUAUCUCUAGUCUAUGCCUUGAUAGAUUUUGUCCCUUGAUUUAAUUCCAUCUCCUUAGAUCCCUAGAGCAAAAUUAUAAAUAACGAUACCUGGAAUACUUAUCCUGGUGAAAUGCUACAAUGAGGUGUUUUAUCUGUGCGCUUGCGGAUAGAAUGGAUUAUUUUCUAAAGAGCCUUUACAUUUAUAAAUACCUUUGUACACUCUGGCGCCAUGCUAGGGAUGACAACCUAGUAUCUAAGUGGUGUUAGCUAGUGUCAACAAUUGUCUCAGGGUCCGGAUCAUCUGGCG